rnacentral:sRNA from 1 species
UUCCAUGCGGGGCAGGCAACGAGCGUG